rnacentral:rRNA from 1 species
UCUAGCCACGCCGCGUGGGGGAUGAAGGCCUUCGGGUUGUAAACCCCUUUCAGGAGGGACGAAAUUGACGGUACCUCCAGAAGAAGCACCGGCCAACUACGUGCCAGCAGCCGCGGUAAUACGUAGGGUGCGAGCGUUAUCCGGAAUCAUUGGGCGUAAAGAGCUCGUAGGCGGUUCAACAAGUCGGCUGUGAAAUCCCGAGGCUCAACCUCGGAACUGCAGUCGAUACUGUUGUGACUAGAGUCCGGUAGAGGAGAGUGGAAUUCCCGGUGUAGCGGUGGAAUGCGCAGAUAUCGGGAGGAACACCAGUAGCGAAGGCGGCUCUCUGGGCCGGCACUGACGCUGAGGAGCGAAAGCGUGGAGAGCAAACAGGAUUAGAUACCCUGGUAGUCCACGCCGUAAACGUUGGAUACUAGGUGUGGCGUCCCGACCAACGGAUGCCGUGCCGAAGCUAACGCGAUAAGCAUCCCGCCUGGGGAGUACGGUCGCAAGACUAAAACUCAAAGGAAUUGACGGGGGCCCGCACAAGCGGUGGAGUAUGUGGUUUAAUUCGACGCAACGCGAAGAACCUUACCUGGGCUCGAACGCGGGGGGGAUGCACCGGAAACGGUGCAGCCGGCAACGGCCGCCCGCGAGGUGCUGCAUGGUUGUCGUCAGCUCGUGCCGUGAGGUGUCGGGUUAAGUCCCAUAACGAGCGCAACCCCUACCGCCAGUUGCCAG